GCCACAAAGAGAGAGAGAAAAGAUGGCGGCCAGAUAUGUCUGUGUGCUGGUCAUCUCUGCAGGUUGGUGGCUUCACAUCUGAUCACAAUAAAUUGAUCAUUACAGCAAAAUCAUUACAAUAAAUAUCAGUUAUGAACAGGGAACCAAUAAGAUUUCUUACUCCUGGGUUUAGACUGGGAAGUCACUAUAUGUCUUUACUGUCUUACCUAAAGAUCUGGGACACUGAAACAUCACAGAGUAACAGCCCAAUGAUCAGCUACAGUAUAACUGUGGGUGAGGGUGAUGGAUGAAUAUAAAUAAUUCCAAAUAUUACCAAAUUUAACACAUCACACGUUUUACCAUAAUCUCUUGCUUAGACACCAUUCACAAUAAAACCAAAAACCUAUGGGUGAUCAAAAGAUAAAGAUCCAUCAGUACCUGUUCCAUCUUACUAAUCUAUUUAGUAUUUAUGUCUUCUUUAUGUUUUUUAUGUAUAGGGGUGAUCAGUUUGAAUGGAAUACUGGCAUCUUGGAUAAUGGGGUUUCAACACUCUGAGAUUAGACAGAAGUCUUCCAUAAAGUCAUUCACAAUCAACUCAGAUGCAGCUCAAACAGAGAUGACAACAUUAGUGAGUACAUUAGAUGUGACAAAAGGUGUGUCGAACUCGCCAAAGACACAAAUAAUCACAAACAUUCCUGAAACUGCAUCAGUGAAUAUGAUGUCUGGAUCAUCUGUGGUAUCAAAAGCAUCAUCCGUUGCUAUUGCUGAACCCUCUCGGCAAACAACAGCUGAGAUGGCAGCAGUGAGUGCAGCUGGGGCAGUCAGAUCUACAGCUGCGGGAACAAUCGUCUUGUCUGAGACUAUAGAGAAAGUUACGAUUUUACUUGGAACGAAAAAGGCAGAAAGACAGGAAACAGCAGAAACAACUCCAGGUGAAACAGUCACCACAUAUAAACAAACAAAAGAACAUGCCAGUGUGGAAACACUGACAAAUACAGCUCAAAAACCACCUGAACCUGAGAGCAUAAGUGAUAGUGAUAUCAUACAAACAUAUGAAAGAGAAACAGGUGUGACAAUAUUUGAGAAACCAUCAGAAAAAAACACCAUACCAAAACUAGGAUCAGAGACAACCAGAUUUGCUCCAACUAUAACAGCUACAGCUAAUAUCAGGAGUGCAACUCCGAUACCUGAACCAGUGACAGACAGAGGAACAAAUUUCACUAACAACAAACUGAAAACGUCAAAAAUCACCCCUGAAAAUAAAGCAACAACAAAAACUAGACCAGACAUUACAUUUAGGAAAGCAGCGGUUAUGACUGAAACAAAAGUAGAUUUAACUGAAGGACAACCAGGACCAAGCACCAUCAUAAAAAGACAAAAAACAGCAGGAACGGAGCCAUCUAAAGUUGAAACAAGUGAAAAAAACACAGUUAGACCACAAAAAUCUUUUCAAGCUAUACAAACGUCAAAUGGUCCAACAAUAAAUGAGGCUAGUGGCAUAAAUCUUAUAACUAUGAUUCAAACUGCCACUAGAAAACAAGACAAAAGAGUGGGGAAACAAUUAAGUACAGCUGGUACGGGCGUAGAAACAAUAAAAUCAAAUGUAUUAACAACAAUAAAAUCCACCGUGAAUGAUUUAAACGCUAUUUCACCAAAGAGACGGACUGCUAAAGUGAUCGACAAGUUGACAACUCAGUCACACAAGUCUGUAUCACCUUGUACAGGCAAAUGUCAAACCAAAUCUACUACUAGGAACAAUAGAGACAGACGAGGCCAGGCAAUGAAGCCCCUGUCCUAUGAUAAAACCUUUUACUCUGCUAUCACUAUGGGUAGCAUCCUGGUUAUAUGUGGCCUUCUAGCACUUGUUGUGUUUAUAAAGGAUUUUACUGGGCACAAAUAA
ensembl:lncRNA